rnacentral:misc_RNA from 1 species
AGGGUACCCCUUUUGGGGAAAUGAGGUUCCUGAAUUUUGCGGCCACAAUGUUUUUAAACUUUACUGUCUAGAUAAUAAAUACCCAUUUGUCAAAAUUGGCAGGCAACGUUUCCUGGUGUUGAAAAUAAAUCAGGAAAAUUAUACCAUGAAGAUUGUGCUAUGGGACCUGCGGCAAGAUGCUUGUCCUGCUGACACUGAAAAUCUCGAAGACGUUGUUUUGAAGCACCCUUUCUAUGGUUACACUUCAACGCUUACAAACCUCACAUUAAUCUAUGAAUGCCCCAUGGUUGAUUUAUUGCUAAGUUAUGCCUUUACAUGCGAUCCAAAAGCUACAGAUGUUUACAAUUACUAUGCAAAUGAAAUCAUCUGGAAGAUUCAAAAACCAAUCCUUGAAAAAUAUUGCAAAGCUCACCUGACAAAUCCGGUUUCACAGGCGGCUCUGAUGGAACUUUAUGGUGGAUCCAAGACAGUAGAUGAAACUCUGAGUGAAGGUUUUGAUGUUGAAUAUCAUGCUCAUAGAGAAUUGUGUGUCAAUUGUCAGGAAUCUGAUGGGAUCUGCGGAUCUAACUUAACAACGCAUGACUUUCUCUGCCUUCAUAGAGACCAACCAAGGAAUAAUGCACCUUCUCCUGGAACUACCCCAGGUAUAGUAUUCCUCCAAAU